rnacentral:rRNA from 1 species
AUGGAUAGGCCAAGUACUUCUACCAACCCACUCUUCCUCGAGCAAGACAGCGAUCCGAACAACUACGUCACCAAGCUACACCUCUUUGGUACACAACGAGCUUUGCAUGAAGAGCAACUAGACCGCAUCGACAAUCUCCCACCAACUUGCGACUCUCCGAGCAAUGCACAAGAGACUACUUCGACAACAAGCUCGACGAGCACAAGCACGAGAAUGACGCAAGAAUGGACGAGAUUCGUGCCUUGUUGGUCAACCGCUCUUCUACCACUUCGUCCUACGCAAGAAGGAGCCGCUCGAGUAGACACUCCGACGACACCGUCUCCGACUCAAGUACCCCGACAUCGAAUACUCUUCGUCGUGCCGCGCGUCAAGAUCGUCAAGCUAACCGCAAUCCUCUACACACACCGACUCUCAAGAGCACCGACGUCGUCAAAACCAAGCUACAUUUGCACAAGCACAAGAACGGCAAACGUCAACGCCAACAAGAACAAGAGGAGCGAGCGCGACAACACCAAGAUGCACAAGAUGCCAAGGCACAACGACAAGAACAACAACUCCGUGAAGCUCAAGCACUUGAGGCGCAACGUGCCUUUCGAUAUUCAAGUCACGCCGUAG